rnacentral:rRNA from 1 species
AGAGUUUGAUCCUGGCUCAGGACGAACGCUGGCGGCGGGCUUAACACAUGCAAGUCGAACGAUAAGCUCCAGCUUGCUGGAGUGGACAGUGGCGAACGGGUGAGUAACGCGUAGGCAACCUGCCCUUUAGUGGGGAAUAACCCCGGGAAACCGGAGCUAAUACCGCAUAAUAUCCUGGUACCGCAUGGCACCGGGAUCAAAGCCUUCGGGCGCUAUUGGAUGGGCCUGCGUCGGAUUAGGUAGUUGGUGAGGUAGAAGCUCACCAAGCCGACGAUCCGUAGCUGGUCUGAGAGGAUGAUCAGCCACACUGGCACUGAGACACGGGCCAGACUCCUACGGGAGGCAGCGGUGAGGAAUAUUGCGCAAUGGAGGAAACUCUGACGCAGCCACGCCGCGUGAAGGAUGACACCCCUAUGGGGCGUAAACUUCUUUUAUGAGAGAAGAAAACCUGACUCGGUCAGGUCUGACGGUAUCUUAUGAAUAAGCACCGGCUAACUCCGUGCCAGCAGCCGCGGUAAUACGGAGGGUGCAAGCGUUGUCCGGAAUCACUGGGUGUAAAGGGUGUGUAGGCGGGACCGUAAGUCAGAGGUGAAAUCCUGCAGCUCAACUGUAGAACUGCCUUUGAUACUGCGGCUCUUGAAUCUCGGAGAGGUCAUUAGAAUUCGUGGUGUAGCGGUGAAAUGCGUAGAUAUCACGAGGAAUACCAGAGGCGUAGGCGGAUGACUGGACGAGUAUUGACGCUGAGGCACGAAAGCGUGGGGAGCAAACAGGAUUAGAUACCCUGGUAGUCCACGCUGUAAACGAUGAAUGCUCGGUGUUGCCCUGAUUUUUCGGGGCAGUGCCUAAGCUAACGCGUUAAGCAUUCCACCUGGGAGUACGCUCGCAAGAGUGAAACUCAAGGGAAUUGACGGGGGCCCGCACAAGCGGUGAGCAUGUGGUUUAAUUCGA